GACGAACGCUGGCGGUGUGCUUAACACAUGCAAGUGGUGCGACGAACCUGGCUUCGGCCAGGGGCAAAGCCGCGAACGGGUGAGUAACACGUGGGUAAUCUGCCCCGAUGACUGGGACAACCCGAGGAAACUCGGGCUAAUACCGGAUGUGGUGCCUGGACAUAAGUCUGGUCACUAAAGGUAGCUUCGGCUUCCGCAUUGGGAUGGGCCCGCGGCCCAUUAGCUUGUUGGUGGGGUCAAGGCCUACCAAGGCAACGAUGGGUAGCUGGUCUGAGAGGACGAUCAGCCACACUGGGACUGAGACACGGCCCAGACUCCUACGGGAGGCAGCAGUGGGGAAUCUUGCGCAAUGCGCGAAAGCGUGACGCAGCAACACCGCGUGAGGGAAGACGGCCUUAGGGUUGUAAACCUCUUUCAGAUGGGACGAAGGUCGUCCGGUGAAUAGCCGAGAUGAUUGACGGUACCGUCAGAAGAAGCUCCGGCUAACUACGUGCCAGCAGCCGCAGUAACAC
rnacentral:rRNA from 1 species